rnacentral:misc_RNA from 1 species
GAUGAAGAACGUAGCGAAAUGCGAUACGUAAUGUGAAUUGCAGAAUUCAGUGAAUCAUCGAAUCUUUGAACGCAUAUUGCGCUCUUUGGUAUUCCGAAGAGCAUGCUUGUUUGAGUAUCAGUAAACACCUCAAAGACUUCAAUUUGUUUUGAAUGGCUUUGGACUUGAGCAAUCCCAACACCAGUCUUUACGAUCGGUGGAGGGUUGCUUGAAAUGCAGGUGGAGCUGGACAUUCUCCUGAGCUAAAAGCAUAUUUAUUUAGUCCCGUCAAACGGAUUAUUACUUUUGCUGCAGCUAACAUAAAGGGAGUUUGACCGUAUUGGCUGACUGAUGCAGGAUUUCACAAGGGUCGGCAACGAUUCUUGUAAAACUCGAUCUCAAAUCAAGUAAGACUACCCGCUGAACUUAAGCAUAUCAAUAAGCGGAGGA